GCGCUCGUAGCUCAAUUGGAUAGAGCAUCAGCUUGCGGAGCUGGGGGUUGGGGGUUCAAGUCCCUCCGGGCGCA
rnacentral:tRNA from 1 species